rnacentral:lncRNA from 1 species
UUUUUAGUAGGCUAUUGUUUUGUUGGAUAAUGAUUUUGGAGCUGAUUGUUGCUAGAACAAAUUUUUUGCAUGACCAUGUUUAGGUGAGUUAUUUUCAUUUUUUCUCUAAAUUACAAAUAUUCAUGAUACAAAUAGCUAUUUGGUUAGUUAACUUCUUGUUGAAGAAGAUAUUUGAGGCAAGAGUUGGAGCAAAAAUAUGAAAAUUGCAUGGAUUUACUUAAAUUUAUAAAGUGUUCUAUUUUUUUGAGUAAUUGCUCAAUAUGCAGAGUACUAAGCAUGAUAAUAUUGGUCUGUGGUUGGAAUUGGGAGUUUGAGCUUUGUUUUUAUAAACUUAAUGAAGGAAAAUUAAUGUUGAAGUAAAAUUAAUGCUGAAAUUAUCUUCGAAAAUGAUUUUUGCACUGAUUUUGAAGAUGACAGUGCUAUUAUUGAAUGUUGACUUUAGUAAAGUUUUGUUUAUGAAUGGUGCUUCAAUUGUUAGGUUGAUUAAGUACUCACUGUAAAGAGUAUGUUCACUAUUUGAAUCUAGAGUUAUAUGGAUUUAUUUCACCUUAUAAAUUGUGCAUAUGAUGUUAUAUCUUUGUGAGUAAUUGGUCAGUGCUGAGCUUUGUAAUGUUGGCCUGUUGCUGGAGUUUGGCGGUUGAGCUUCAUUUUUAUAUACUUAAUGAAGUAAAACUGACGCUUAUAUUGUCUCUAAAUGAAUUUUGCAAUAAUUUUGAAGAUGUCUGUGUUGUUAUCAAUGCUUCACUUCAGUCAGCUGCUAUUUAUGAAUGAUACUGGCUGUUGUUAGGUUGACAGAAUAAUAACUAUAGAGGAUAUGUGCACCGUUUGAGCUGAAUUUUUUGUAUUUAUGCCAAUCUAUUAGUAGUUAUGAAUGUUAAUUACACACCAUGUGUUCUAUAUUUUGCUUCAUUUAAUGGCUAUUUUUGUCAUUUUAAAGCCUUAUUUAUAUGGACAUAGAGGCAGUGGUUGAUGGAGAAGUAUUCAAAGUAGGAUCAAUAAUUCUAGAACAGCAUAGUCUUCAGAAACUUUGGGAAGAUAUCAAGGAUUUAUGUUUUCACAGCCCAAUUAGAUGAGCUGAAAAUAUCAAGUUUAAAGUCAUGCUGCCAUAGGAAACAAAUAAAGUUAUUUUGCAAAGGAACUCAGAUCUUUAGGAUGCUUUCAAGAAGUUGAGGGAAAAGUCCUACACCUGGGCAUUUUUUGUUGUUACAACUGAACGGUAUAUUAUCACCAAUGCAAGUAAAUAGUCAAGUGAAGCUGACACUAUAGAUAUUAAUGAACACACUAUAUCACCUGGGGAGGAAUUUUCUGUUCAUCUAGACGAUCAAUUUGAGUGGUUGGAUUUUGGAGAAGCAAAUGAGCCUGUAAUGCCAAACGGUGAUGUCACUAUACCAUAUGUUAGAUAAUAUGAAGAUAAAGUUGAUAUGGCAUCACAUGAGGAUGACUUUAACCUUGCAAAUGAUAUUGAUAAUAUAUGGGAUACUGGGCUGGAUGUCUACUAGUCAGCAGAUGACAUUUGCAAUUUAAAAUUGGUUAGGCGUCAGAGGGUCAAGAAUGAGAAAUCGAGGGUCAUAUUAAAGUAUAGUAUUGAAGUAUACAUUCCCCCAUUUAGUCAAAGCAAACAAUCAAGUUACCAUCAACGUCAUAAUUGCUAAAUCAUUCAAGCAAUAUGUGAUCACAUGCUGUAACACAUGGCUAUACAGAGCAAAGAACAAAGCACUAGAGCUUUUGGGCCACGACCACAAGGCAAGUCACUCAGAAGCUAUUCAGGUAUAUGCAUGCAAUAUUAAAUUACUGUUGAUCUAGAUGGAAAUUACCUAGGUAGUGGUCAGCAUCCACAUUUUAUGCGGUUUUUUGUCAUGUUUGAUGCUAAUAGGAGAGGGUUCUUUGAUGAUUGUAGACAACUCAUAUGAAUUGAUGGCUGUUGUCUUAAGGUGUUGUACAAAGGUAUACUCUUGACUGUUGUUAGCAUUGAUGCAAUUAUGGCGUCUACCCACUUGCCUUGUGUGUUGUGAAAAAUAAAAAUAAAAUAUCAUAGGUAUAUUUUAUGGAGAGGUUGUAUAAAUAGAUUAGGUGCAAUGGGGAUGAGUGCUUUUAUUUUAUGAGUGAUAGACAAAAGGGCAUCUUAAAGGCAUUGGAUAUGGUACUUCUUGCUUCUUUGAAAAGAUAUUGUUCUAGACAUAUUUAUGCCAUUCAAGGAAAAGUUUUCUAGUCUAUUGUUGAAGUUUUCAUUUUGGAAGGCAUGCAGAGCAUCGAACUCAGUUGAAUUCCAUAAAUAUAUGUCAGAGUAUAGGAUCAGUUCCAUGGCACACCAUUGGUUGAUGCAAAUUCCAGUUGGCUGUUAGGCCAAAUACAUGUUCCCUACCCACACUAACUGUUCCUAUGUCACUAAUAAAAUGACCGAAUCCUUCAAUAACAAGAUCAACAACUUUAGAGGGAUGCCAAUAGUUUAGAUAGUUGAGGAAAUAAGAAGAAAAGUCAUGGUUCUAAUUCAUAGGAGGUAUCAACAAGCUAUUAAUUGGCAAGAUGACCUACCACCAUUGGUUAGGAGGAGAAUAGUUGAAAAGAAAGAAGAAUCUAGGCCAUUAUAUUUGGUCACAACGACACAUUUAAGAUGAUAAAGGAUAUUCCUAGUAGAACUGUUGUUGAUUUAAAGAGCAAAAAUAGUGAUUGUGGGGAGUGGGACAUAUCUACUUUGCUUUUUCCACAUGCUUUGUAUUGCAUUGAUGCCAUGAAGUAUAAUGUCAGCUAAUGUAUGAAUCCUCUGCUGAAAAAGGAAGCUUUCAAGAACACUUACAAGCAUCAAUUAUAUCCAGUUCUUAAGCAAGCGGCUUCCCUUUCUACAUGACAAUAUACUUCCACCUAUUGUCGUAAAGGCACCUGUAGACCAGAGACAAAGAGAAAGAGAGAGGCUGGUGAAGGAAAGACUUUUCGGAUAAGUUCUAGUUUUAAGUGCUCAAAUUAUGAUGAGUGAGGUGAGGAUACAAUAUUAGGACUUGUAAAGUUGUUAAGGGAUCCAAAUCAGUGAGCAAAUUUGAUUUGUCAUCAAGCCAGGUUAUAUACAUAAACUUUUCUUGUACUUUUAAUAGAUAAAUAACAUAUGGUUGUGGUACUUACAGUAUAUUAUAACACCACUAAUACAACUCAACUUCUUUUAUUGUAGGAUAUGAGACAAAGAUCAAGUAGUAACCAUGAAAGAGGCCAUAGUCAGAUUUUCAGGCAGUAAGUCUAUUAAAGCUCCUCCAUCAUCUCAAACUGUCCACCAUGAUGGUUUGCCUUUAAAAUUGAUUUUUUUAUAUGCAUAAACCUUUCAUUACGUAACUUUGUUCUUGUACAUUUUAGUUAAAGCUAAUGAAAAUGAAACAGUUAAUAUUAUAUAGGGCAGUCUGAUUAGCUAUAAUUAGAAUAUACAUAUGGCAGCAUCAGCAAACAACAUGAUAACAUGUGAAUUUUAUUAGGCAGUGAUAGCACAGGCCUAGCUAAUCCCAUGAUACUAAUUUUUUGACAGAUGAGAUUGUACGACACCUUUUACCUGUAAACAAUACAUUCAAGAUUGUGUAUCAACUUUUGUUACUCAAAUAUGAGUCUUUUUUGUAUAUUUUGUAUAGUGGGCCUUUCUCACUGUUAACCCAUGCAAUGUGUUAAUAGUUACUUACUAGUAUAUGUGGGCCUAUGUUGGUGUUAUGAGCUAAAUGUCCAGCUUGAUUGCAUUGUCUAAACGAACUGCUGUUGGAAUGAAAAUUAAUUUAUGAUGUUAUGUUUGUGUAUAGUUCUA